UUAAUUUUAUGCUUAAAUAAUCAACUUUAUAAUAAAUAUUAGUCAAAAAUAAUAAAAUAUAUAAUAUUAAUAAAUUUCAUUUUAAAUAUAAUUUAACUUUUAAAAAUUUUAUCACACCUAGUAUACUUUAAUUAGCAAAGAACAGUUUACUUCUCUCCCGGGACGUCCACGUCAUCUGCCACGUCACUAAUUCGUGCAACGUGAGUUUGACACGUGUCCCGGCUGCUUGAAACGCAUCGUUUCAUUAAUUCGGUUAUCAAUUUGUUUAUGGGUCACUACGGGCCUGUACAAAAGUUUAUCUAAACCCAAUUCUGAUCUACUUAAGGAUUGUCUCCUCUCAUAGACUCUCAGUCGCCGCACAAAAUUCUCUAACCCUAAGUUCGUUUAUCUCUUCAUCUUCUUGGCAAAAAUAAUCUCGACACGUUAAGCCGUCUGUCUGGAUCGAAUCGUCAUCUUCAACGGACUCAUAAACAAAUUUAGUGCAUCCCCUUUACUUCCUUUCUCAGAUUCUUCAACUAUUACUCCACUGUCGAGGUUAACCUGCUUUGGUUCUGGAAAGCUGGAAACAUGAAGCUUGCUAGCAAGCUUAUGGGACAUACUCCUCAGCGAUGCAAAGGUAAUUCCGGCUUUAAAACUCAUAAUGAUCAAACUUUUGUAAAAAAACUUUAGUUUAUGGAAGAUAGUUUUGAUUUUGGGAUUCCAGUCAUUUGUCAUUGACAGAAUCAAAAAGGUCUACACUAAACACGGGUUUGUCAAUCCUAUGAUUGUACUUGCUAUGUCUCAGGUUACAAAAACAGAUUCCAGAACUUUAUUAGGUAUCUUCCUGAAAUGGGAGACGAGGUUUCUUCUUUUUCCUCCUCCUGAUUCUAUUUCUUCAAUCCCAAGUGCUCCUUUCUUUUUCUUUGUCAAUCUGUUAAAACUGUUUUAGCUUCAUAGGUUAUAGUCGUUACGACACAUGAAGGUGUUCCCGAAGAGUUUUAUGGAGCAAAAGUCAUUGGAUCCAGAAGGUAACUAUCAACACUUAAGCUACAUAACUAACUUAAUGGAUAAAUGUUACACUCCAUUUGGUAAUAUUAUAGCUAAUUCUUCUUUGAUCUCUUAUUCUUCUGCAGCUUCCCUUGCCCAUGGUACCAAAAGGUACCCCUCUCGCUUGCGCUUAGUCCUAGAAUUAUCUCUGAAAUUGCUCGCUUUAAGCCGGACAUCAUUCAUGCUUCUUCUCCUGGGAUUACGGUAACAAUAAAAAAGAGCCUCUUAGAAAUCACAUUGCUUAUUUACAAAUGCAUGUAUGUGAGGAAAUGUAAUGAACGACUCUCCUCUAUCGAUUUGACUCAAUCGUCGAAUUGCGUCUCCACCGUCGAAGUGUGUCUCAUCAGAUUCUUGGAGGCUCUCCCUCUAUAAAAAAUGGGGAGAGAUGGCACGAAAGAUAUGUCUGGAUGAUGUUGAGGUGAACCCAUAUACUUGCUUUUGUUUUUAAUUUCUUGGACAGUCAUUGCUUCCCAUUUCGUCAUCCGAAUACUUGAUUUCCUUCGUUUCCCUUUUCAGGUCAAGCUUGGAGAGCUAGAAGCUGAACUUUUUGUAGUCAAAGCUAUUAAUGACAAUUGGUAGCACUCUUACAAUGAACUUGUGGAGUUUAGGUAUCCUCGCAACUGUUCUUAUACAGGUAAAUCUGCAUCUUGGUUUCGUUUCUUGGAAGUUUCAGGUCUCAUAUAGAGAGUGGAAGAGACCCUGAGAACUACUUCAAGUAUUCGGUUCAAGAUAUCGAGAGAAUCGUUCUUGAUUUCUUUGAGGAGACGAUGAAAGAAGAAGAUUGGAGAGGUUACUUUCUCUCUUUUGUUUUGUUUUUUUUUUGGUUCCCCAGCCAUGUUAGAGCACAUCCAACGCGGAAACGUUCGACUCGAUAACCAAGGUAGAUUAUUUUAAUAUUUUUACUUUUUUCAGCUUUUUUAAAAAAAAAAAAAAAACCAAUCACGGGAUCUCACGUGGUGGUGGGAUCCGCGCACAGUGAUGAACCUGGCAGAGAGUUAAUCCUUAGCUACGAACUUUAAAAAAUUAUUAUGGCACAAUUUCUUAAAUUUUUUGGGUCCCACAUAUUUUAAAAAUCAUUUAUUGCUAAGGAUAUUUUCCUAAGGAACUGCGUUGGAGCUGCUCUUAGUAUGUUGUAGGAUAGAGCCAUUCUUUGAAUUUUUAUUCACGGGUUAGUGUUUUUACACACCGUUCCUAUUGUAUAAACUCCCGUUUGUAUCAUCACAUCUCAGGUAGGAAACAAAGAUUCGGUAGUGCAGAUCAAUGGUGUUGGAGACAUGAACCUUAAAAGGUUUGCUGAAAGAUGGGUUCGUGUUCGAAAAUGACUUCUUACAAGUUGUAGAUGCUGUCCACAUAGGAUGGAUACUGCUCUUUGUCUUUAUCUGUGGUAUCAAGUUCCUCAACUUUCAAAAGAACGCGAAGGAGAAGAGAACCUUUGUACCAUAGUCUUUGAAAAUUGUCGGAUAUUUGUAAUUUUUCUUUUAUUAUUAUAUUUUGUUUCUAUUUGGUUAGUAACAACAACAAUAAUAGCAGUUUACGUUCACAA